rnacentral:lncRNA from 1 species
AGUGACAACCUCUAUUCAGCCUUCACCAGUGAUGGUGCCAUUUCAGUACCAAGCCUUUCUGCUCCAGGUCAAGGAAGAUGGUGAAAAAAGUCUGUCCUUGCAACCAGCUCUGUAAACCAGCAGCACAAACACUGUUGGGGCAACAGUGAACAGCCAAGCCGCCCAAGCUCAGCCUCCUGCCAUGACGUCCAGCAGGAAGGGCACAUUCACAGAUGACUUGCAC